rnacentral:rRNA from 1 species
AAUAUAUGUAAAUAAAGUAAUUUAGUUUAAAUUUCUCAAUAAUCAAAACAUUAUUAAAUUUAGUAAAGGAGAUUAAAGAUUAUUUUGUUUUUAAUUCAAGUACUGUGAAGGAACAACCCUAGUUAGAUAAAAGAAAAAAUUAAGUUUU